rnacentral:rRNA from 1 species
GUCUGCUUGAAGAUAUAAGAAGUCUAGCCUGCUCUCUGAUUAUUUUUAAGGGCCGCGGUAAUUUGACCGUGCAAAGGUAGCAUAAUAGUUAGUUUUUUAAUUGAAAUCUUGUAUGAAUGGUUGGACAAGAGAAAUACUGUCUCUAUAAUUUUUAUUGAAUUUAACUUUUAAGUGAAAAGGCUUAAAUUAUUUAAAAAGACGAUAAGACCCUAUAAAGCUUUAUAGUUAAAUUUUAUUUGAUUGAAUUAAUAAAUAAAAUUUUAAUAAUUUUUAUUAUUUUGUUGGGGAGACAAUAUUAUAAUUUUAAGUAACUGUGGAUAAUUAAUACAAAUAUAAGUGUAUAAAAAAGUAAAAGAUCCUGUUUAGAGAUUAAAAGUUUAAGUUACUUUAGGGAUAACAGCGUUAUUUUUCUUGAGAGUUCAUAUCGAAAGAAAAGAUUGCGACCUCGAUGUUGAAUUAAAAUUUCUAGGUAAUUGUAGAAGUUACUUUAGAAGGUCUGUUCGACCUUUAAAUUUUUACAUGAUUUGAGUUCAGACCGGUGUAAGCCAGGU